rnacentral:rRNA from 1 species
UGGGUCCGCGUCUCAUUAGCUAGUUGGUGAGGUAAUGGCUCACCAAGGCAACGAUCAGUAGCAGGUUUGAGAGGAUGACCUGCCACACUGGGACUGGAACACGGCCCAGACUCCUACGGGAGGCAGCAGUGGGGAAUAUUGCGCAAUGGGCGAAAGCCUGACGCAGCGACGCCGCGUGGAGGAUGAAGGCCUUCGGGUCGUAAACUCCUGUCAAGAGGGAAGAACCGUAUGCGGAAUAAUACGCCGCAUGCCUGACGGUACCUCUAGAGGAAGCACCGGCUAACUCCGUGCCAGCAGCCGCGGUAAUACGGAGGGUGCAAGCGUUAAUCGGAAUCACUGGGCGUAAAGCGCGCGUAGGCGGCUUGGUAAGUCAGGUGUGAAAGCCCCCGGCCCAACCGGGGAAUUGCACUUGAUACUGCUAGGCUAGAGUUCAGGAGAGGGUGGCGGAAUUCCAGGUGUAGGA